UGCCAACUUCUUUUUAUUUAGUUUUCUUUAGAUAAUCGAACCAUACGGAUGCAAGUUAAUUGUUAAGUGACGGGCGUGAGUGAAAAUUGUUAGUUUUAGUAGAAAUAAUUAAAAUAAAAGUGUUUUAUUAUGUGUAGAGAGGCUUAAAAUUUAUGGCCAAAAAAAUAUGUAUAAGAAGAUUGCAAAAACGAAAAACAUGCAACAACCGCAAAAUGGUGGACGCAGCAAUAAUAUUUUAUUACCUUUUAACGUUUGUCAGCUGGUUCUCUUUGCUUGGAGUAGUAAAUUGAAAUAACAAGUCACUGGCUCAUGCUUCGACAACAACUACAUACUGUGAUGAUGCCACAACCAAUGAAAACAUGUUAACACAACUGCGACUGUUUGGCAUGGACUCUAUAUAAAAUUUCGGCUAAAGAAUUGCAUAAAAAACAGUUUUGAAGAUAUGUUGAGUGUAUUAAUGUAAACAUGUGUUGCAUAAAAGAAAAAUAAUACACUCGCAUGUUGCAAAUAUGAGGAGAAUGCAUUCA